GUGAGGAAUAUUGCGCAAUGGAGGCAACUCUGACGCAGCCAUGCCGCGUGCAGGAAGAAGGCGCUACGCGUUGUAAACUGCUUUUAACCGGGAAGAAACCCCAGGACGUGUCCUGGGUUGACGGUACCGGAGGAAUAAGCACCGGCUAACUUCGUGCCAGCAGCCGCGGUAAUACGAAGGGUGCAAGCGUUAUCCGGAUUCAUGGGGUUUAAAGGGUGCGUAGGCGGAGCGUUAAGUCAGUGGUGAAAUCCUGCAGCUUAACUGUAGACUUGCCAUUGAUACUGGCGCUCUUGAGUGCGCUUGAAGUGGGCGGAAUGUGCCGUGUAGCGGUGAAAUGCUUAGAUAUGGCACAGAACACCAAUUGCGAAGGCAGCUCACUAAGGCGAUACUGACGCUGAGGCACGAAAGCGUGGGGAUCGAACAGGAUUAGAAACCCGUGUAGUCC
rnacentral:rRNA from 1 species